GGUAGCGUGGCCGAGCGGUCCAAGGCGCUGGUUUAAGGCACCAGUCUCUUCCGGGGCAUGGGUUCGAAUCCCAUCGCUGUCC